rnacentral:rRNA from 1 species
AUUGAACGCUGGCGGCAGGCCUAACACAUGCAAGUCGAGCGAGCGGCGGACGGGUGAGUAAUGUAUGGGGACUGCCCGAUAGAGGGGGAUAACUACUGGAAACGGUAGCUAAUACCGCAUACUAUCGGAUAACCCAUAUGGGAUUAGCUAGGAGGUGAGGUAAUGGCUCACCUAGGCGACGAUCCCUCGCUGGUCUGAGAGGAUGUUCAGCCACGCUGGUACUAAGACACGGCCCAGACGCCUACGGAGGCAGCAGUGGGGAAUAUGGCACAAUGGGCGCAAGCCGGAUGCAGCCAUGCCGCGUGUAUGAAGAAGGCCCUAGGGUUGUAAAGGACUUUCAGUCGGGAGGCGUUACCGACAGAAGAAGCACCGGCUAAGUCCGUGCCAGCAGCCGCGGUAAUAC